AACCACAGCCAUAUCACCCUGCAGGCGAAGACCGGUUACUCACUGAAGCUAAGCAGGGCUGAGCCUGGUCAGUACCUGGAUGGGAGACCACUAGGGAACACUAGGUUGCUGUUGUAA
rfam:Danio rerio chromosome 11, GRCz11 reference primary assembly.